rnacentral:lncRNA from 10 species
GGACAGUCUGCGCGGGGCUUACAAUGUUCUUGUUUCUCCCGCCGUAGCUGUUUGCCGUUUUGCUGUUUGCCUCCUUGUCACGACCUCAGCGACGGCAGAUGGAGCCAGUGGAGGGAGAGAGACAGACGGCAAUGCUUGGCUCGUUGCUCCAGGCUAGCAAAGCUGUCCACAGCCUCAUUUGUGGUUUGCUCACCUGCCUCAGCACCAUCAGCCAGAGGGGGCGAGGAACGCGGCUCUGCGGAGGAGCGGAAUCUUCUCAGCAGCGAUCUGCGAAGGGCUCAGCGGCCACAGGAGGGCGGCAGAGAACAGCGCUCCCUACAGAUCCAGACGUCGGCCCUGGAUGCUGUCUGGAAUCCAGGCAAGGCCAGGCUGGGCUGCCCUAGGCCGGGGACGUCUUUAGCUCGAGCAAAAACCCAUGAAUUUCAGAAUUCAGGAAUCCUUGCAUCCCUUCUCAAGCUCUCUAGUCCCUGAAAUGCCAUCGCCCUCCUCAGCCUCCCUUCCAUUUCUCGUUCUCCUAGCACUGGGGCUGCUGGCACAGAAGGACCCUGUGGCUUUUCCUUCAUGGUAUAGCAGAUGACACCCACGCUCCUCCGUGACAUUCCCUAGGGUCCCAGCUGAUAACUGGAGCUAGAACUAGAACCCACGACUUCUUGGUUCUCUGCGCAGGGGUCUUCCCAUUGUGUCAGCUGCAGCUCCUGAAAUAAAACCAUACCCUACAGGCCACAACCAGACAGCAUCUCAAAUCCCUGGCUUAAACAAUCAAUGCCAAAGCUACUGUGUUCCAUAUGUUUACAUAUGGAACUGGUGCAUACAAGACUGUUAACCCAGGACACAGAUGUGUGCUGUAGCUACCUGGCUGUGCACCCCUCAUCCUCAGGUACAUGGCCCUCUGUCCCUUCUCUUCCUACUUUCUG